rnacentral:rRNA from 1 species
AGUAAUGUCUGGGAAACUGCCUGAUGGAGGGGGAUAACUGCUGGAAACGGUAGCUAAUACCGCAUAACGUCGCAAGACCAGAGAGGGGGACCUUCGGGCCUCUUGCCAUCGGAUGUGCCCAGAUGGGAUUAGCUAGUAGGUGGGGUAACGGCUCACCUAGGCGACGAUCCCUAGCUGGUCUGAGAGGAUGACCAGCCACACUGGAACUGAGACACGGUCCAG